GCCUGGGGAGGAAACAAGAGGCCUGGCCUGAGCACUUGGGCUGCAGGAGCAAGUGCAGCCUGACACAGGCCCCAGAUGCUCUCACCUGCCCUGUUUGGGGGCCGUGGAGGGCCAACGACCCACUCCCCACAAUCUACCCAUGACAGGUAAAAGCAUCAAACUGUAGGGAAACAAUCGGAGACCACGACGCAUUCAUCAGCAGAGGAACGUCUCGUGAGUGGGACUCUGCAGCAUGGAAUACUACGCCGAGAUUUUCAAAAUACAAGUUCGUGACAUACUACAGAAGUAAACGCCAACCUGCAGAAUAUGUACAGUGCGCUACCAUUUUUGUCAAAGGAUGUGCCAAUAGUACACGCUCCUUCACUAGGGACACCUACACGCUGGGAGAGCUCCCGCCUGUCUUGAAGGAGGCAGGAGGUCUACAUGCUCAGCUGUCUGCCUGUGACUGGCAUGGGGUGACUGGAAUCGGGGUGGGCCCAGCCCGGCUAGGCUUCAGUCUCCUUGCUGGAAACAGAUGAAGGCACAGAAAGGACAAUGCCAAGACUUGGACCUGGACAGCCUGGGCGCGCACACUGCCUCCUGGACAGCCUGGGCGCGCACACUGCCUCCUGGACAGCCUGGGCAUACACACUGGUCCCCCCAUGGAAGCUGCGCUACAGUAUACUGGCUCACAAGCCAAGCCCCAGCUCCUGACCCUCGAUGAUCAGGACCCCACCGUCCUAUCCUGCUACACCCACUAUCUCAGCCCUGCAGCUGGUGGCACUGUCUCCUGCAGAGUGGACACCUCUCUCCUCUCUGCUGCAUCCUGCCCAGCUUCCUAAGCACACAGGCAGAUGCAUGCUCCUCCUAAAGCACCUCCUGAAGCCCUUCCUGCAGCUGUUAGCCCCCCUGCCUGGUCCAGGUCUCAGCUUAAACAUCACCCCCUCUCAGACCUUCCUGGGCCUGUCUCCCAGGUCAGGUCAGAUGCCCCUCGGUGGGCCCACCGCAACCUUCCCUGCAGCUGCCCCAGCAGGGAAGCUUCCUAAAGGGUGGAACCAGGCUGCAUUCACCCAACCAGUCUUUCUACUUGUGCAGAAAGUACACCAGUCUAUGCCUUGUGAGGACAAACGGGGACAGAAACUGAGGGCCUGCGGGGGGGAUGAAGAUGGAGACCCAGAGAGAGCAAGCAACAAGUGCAACCAAGAGAAAGGAAAAGAGACCCAGAGAAACAGAGCUUUGGAGGGAACAAGAGAGGAGGGCAUUCUUCGGGAAACAGGCAGACCCAGUGGAAUGGUCUGAGCUAAGAUUUGAAGGAGUGGCUGCAGAGGAAUAAGGACUUCGGGACAAUUCACUUUGAAAAGUGAAACAGUGACCCUCCGGUGGCAGUCAAUUGGCCUCAGGCAGGUAACAGAAAUGGGGAGGAAAGGGUAUGGGGCUCUUGAGAAAACUUCCACUUAGAUGAGAACGUAUUUUAGAAUGUUCUGAAGGGCAAAGCAGGGAGGCUGAUGUAGUUUCCUUGCUGGAAAGAAGUGGGGGUGUAACACCCGAGGGAGAUGGAGGAUAGCGCUUGGCCAUUCCCAGCAGCAAGGGCGGGGGGUUCAGAACCCACCGAUGCGGGGGUGAGGCGCCUGCGCCUCUCUGUUUCAAAAGGCUGCCAUCCCAACCCUGCCG